GAGUUUGAUCCUGGCUCAGGAUUAACGCUGGCGGCAUGCCUAAUACAUCCAAAUCGAACGAAGCCUUUUAGGCUUAGUGGUGAACGGGUGAGUAACACGUAUCCAAUCUACCCUUAAGUUAGGGAUAACUAGUCGAAAGAUUAGCUAAUACCCAAUAAUAACAUUUGAUUGCAUGAUUGAAUGUAGAAAGUCGCGUUUGCGACGCUUUUGGAUGAGGGUGCGACGUAUCAGAUAGUUGGUGAGGUAAUGGCUCACCAAGUCAAUGACGCGUAGCUGUACUGAGAGGUAGAACAGCCACAAUGGGACUGAGACACGGCCCAUACUCCUACGGGAGGCAGCAGUAGGGAAUUUUUCACAAUGGGCGAAAGCCUUAUGAAGCAAUGCCGCGUGAACGAUGAAGGUCUUAUAGAUUGUAAAGUUCUUUUAUUUGGGAAGAAAUGUUAAGAUAGGAAAUGAUUUUAACUUGACUGUACCAUUUGAAUAAGUAUCGGCUAACUAUGUGCCAGCAGCCGCGGUAAUACAUAGGAUGCAAGCGUUAUCCGGAUUUACUGGGCGUAAAACGAGCGCAGGCGGGUCUACAAGUUUGGUAUUAAAUCUAGAUGCUCAACGUCUAGCUGUAUCAAAAACUGUAAACCUAGAGUGUAGUAGGGAGUUGGGGAACUCCAUGUGGAGCGGUAAAAUGCGUAGAUAUAUGGAAGAACACCGGUGGCGAAGGCGCCAACUUAGACUAUCCACUGACGCUUAGGCUCGAAAAGUGUGGGGAGCAAAUAGGAUUAGAUACCCUAGUAGUCCACACCGUAAACGAUGAUCAUUAAAUGUCGGCCCGGAAUGGGUCGGUGUUGUAGCUAACGCAUUAAAUGAUCUGCCUGGGUAGUACAUUCCCAAGAAUGAAACUCAAACGGCAUUGACGGGGAGCCGCACAAGUGGUGGAGCAUGUUGCUUAAUUUGACAAUACACGUAGAACCGUACCUAGGUUUGACAUCUAUUGCAAUGUUAUAGAAAUAUAACGGAGGUUAACAAUAUGACAGGUGGUGCAUGGUUGUCGUCAGCUCGUGUCGUGAGAUGUUGGGUUAAGUCCCGCAACGAGCGCAACCCCUUUCGUUAGUUAAUUUUACCAUCGAUACUGCUCUGCAAAGUAGAGGAAGGUGGGGAUGACGUCAAAUCAUCAUGCCCCUUAUAUCUAGGGCUGCAAACGUGCUACAAUGGUUAAUACAAAGUGUCGCUACUUCGUAAGAAGAUGCCAAUCACAUAAAGUUAGUCUCAGUUCGGAUUGAGGGCUGCAAUUCGCCCUCAUGAAGUUGGAAUCACUAGUAAUCGCGAAUCAGACAUGUCGCGGGGAUUACGUCCUCGGGUCUUGUACACACCGCCCGCCAAACUAUGGGAGCUGGUAAUAUCUAAAACCGUAUUGUUAACCGUAAGGAGGGGUACGUAUAGGGUAGGAUUGGGGAUUGGGGUAAAGUCGUAACAAGGUAUCC
rnacentral:rRNA from 1 species